ACCUGGGUGGCUCAGUUGGUUGAGUGUCUGACUCUGGCUCAGGUCAUGAUCUCGCAGUCUGUGGGUUUGAGCCCCACAUCGGGCU
rfam:Felis catus isolate Cinnamon breed Abyssinian chromosome D1, whole genome shotgun sequence.